GAUGAACGCUAGCUACAGGCUUAACACAUGCAAGUCGAGGGGAAACGAUAGAGAAAGCUUGCUUUUUCUAGGCGUCGACCGGCGCACGGGUGAGUAACGCGUAUCCAACCUGCCCAUCACUUGGGGAUAACCUUGCGAAAGUAAGACUAAUACCCAAUGACGUCUCUAGAAGACAUCUGAAAGAGAUUAAAGAUUUAUCGGUGAUGGAUGGGGAUGCGUCUGAUUAGCUUGUUGGCGGGGUAACGGCCCACCAAGGCGACGAUCAGGUAGGGGUUCUGAGAGGAAGGUCCCCCACAUUGGAACUGAGACACGGUCCAAACUCCUACGGGAGGCAGCAGUGAGGAAUAUUGGUCAAUGGACGAGAGUCUGAACCAGCCAAGUAGCGUGCAGGAUGACGGCCCUAUGGGUUGUAAACUG
rnacentral:rRNA from 1 species